CUUUGCAUGAACCGGUGUUCGUUCCCAGGGUCAUCUUCGCUCCUCAUCCACCAUCUUCGCGGAUGAGAUGAGUAGCCCGAUGGCGCACAAAACCUGGGCUCGUUCUGAGAUUACACGGUUUCUUGAACUUGAUCAGAGUAAUUUCUGCGAAAGGAUCAUGCCUCCCUCUUUC
rnacentral:ncRNA from 14 species